rnacentral:rRNA from 1 species
UGGGGAAUAUUGGGCAAUGGGCGCAAGCCUGACCCAGCAACGCCGCGUGAAGGAAGAAGGCCCUCGGGUUGUAAACUUCUUUUGUCAGGGACGAAGCAAGUGACGGUACCUGACGAAUAAGCCACGGCUAACUACGUGCCAGCAGCCGCGGUAAUACGUAGGUGGCAAGCGUUAUCCGGAUUUACUGGGUGUAAAGGGCGUGUAGGCGGAGAAGCAAGUUGGGAGUGAAAUCCAUGGGCUCAACCCAUGAACUGCUCUCAAAACUGUUUUUCUCGAGUACUGGAGAGGCAGACGGAAUUCCUAGUGUAGCGGUGAAAUGCGUAGAUAUUAGGAGGAACACCAGUGGCGAAGGCGGUCUGCUGGACAGCAACUGACGCUGAGGCGCGAAAGCGUGGGGAGCAAACAGGAUUAGAUACCC